CAGGGCUGGGUGGUUCCUGAAGAGCGGAGUCAUGGAGAUCACAGAAUCACAAAAUGAAAAAAAAAACCUCUUUGGAAGGGACAUUUAAAGGCAGUCUAGUCCAAGUACCAUGCAAGAAGCAGGAACAUCUUUAACUAGAUCAGUAGGACAUUCAGCAGCCUAAAGAAAACUGAACCUGUUAGGAGCAAGUGUUGAGCAGAAGAUCUCCCUGGAAUGGUGUGAGAGUGAGGAGCAGAGGGUUGGAGCCAAGACUUGUUCUGGGUAAUUUCUUCCUGGAGGACACCUGACUAUUUCUGGGGGCCUCAGAGCUAAACUAUUGCUGGGGUAUGGAG